UACGGAGGGUGCGAGCGUUGUUCGGAAUCACUGGGCGUAAAGCGCGUGUAGGCGGCCCAUUAAGUCUGAUGUGAAAGCCCGGGGCUCGCCCCCGGAAGUGCAUUGGAAACUGAUGGACUCGAGUCCCGGAGAGGAGAGUGGAAUUCCUGGUGUAGCGGUGAAAUGCGUAGAUAUCAGGAGGAACACCGGUGGCGAAGGCGGCUCUCUGGACGGUGACUGACGCUGAGACGCGAAAGCGUGGGGAGCAAACAGG
rnacentral:rRNA from 1 species